CUGGCAGGAGCGGAAGGGAUUAAUGGCUGCUGGCAGCUGCAGCAAGGGCUCGGGGAAGGCAGAGCUCCCGCAGCCUCGCAGACAUAACUCACACCAGAUGCCUCUGCUGCGGGUUCUCUCUCUGCCCCCCGCCGCGAUAACGAUGAUGAUUUAUUAGCACAGAGAGAGCAGCACCCUCUCCCCCAGCGCUGUGCUGUCUCUGCAGCCCGGGCUCUUAUUAAUGCUCCUCAUCCCUCCCCUUUCAGAGAGAGCAACGGCACGAGGCGCAGGAGAAGCUGUUGCCUGGAGAUCAGACCGUGACGCCGAUACCCAGACUGUGCCGUUUCCCCGAGCGUUAUUAACCAAACCCGUGGGGUUUCGGCGUGGAUUUUUGGCUGAAUCCCAGCCUGCCUUUUGGACCCGACGUGUCACACACCACCCAGGACGGGUGACAAGCCCUGCCCGGCGGUUCGCUCAGCGGUCGGCACGUCGCAGCAAACCCACCACCAGCACCAUUUGCCUCCAGCACUUCACAGAUACAGGCUGAGCCUGGACCAGAAAUAACAGCACCCCCUCUCCCACACGUUUAUGUCAUCUCUGCCUCCGCACCAACACGCGGCCCCACAGGCGCCGAAGGAAAAGCCCCGCUCGCUCGGGACUUGUGUCUUGCUCUCUGGCCCACGGGCUCAACCAAAUCCUGAUGGAGAGAACCUUCCCGGGUGACACAGACCCACUCCUCUGGUCUGCUACAAAGCUGAUCUCGGAAAUUUGCAUGGCAGGAUCCCCGGGAGCCCUCCGAUCUGUCACGGAGCAUCACAGAGUGAAUCACAGAAUGACAUGGGGUUGGAAGGGACCUCUGGAGAUCAUCCAGUCCAACCCCCUGCCAGAGCAGAGCCACCCAGAGCAGGUCCCACAGGAUCUGUGCUCUCCCAGGCUGAAGGGUGACAAAGAGAGCCAAGGCUCAGAAUACUGGAAGUGAUGUUUAAAAAUAAGAAAUAGAAGCAAAGCCUUUCCUGCCAGCUCUUACUGUGCUUCAGGAGAAGGAAACGUUUCCCUGGGUGAUAGACGAAGGGGUGUUUCUUCCAGCAGCGUCCCACGGCAGCCCCAUAACUGGCUCUGGGUAUUACCUUUGGGGAUGUCAAGCACCGAGGGAGCCAAACAGCUUAAAAGUCACUUUCUGACUCUUCGCCCCAUGGGAUUCCUCUCCAGCUCGGGGCUGAGGUUCACUGCGGAGAGAUGACAGAAGAAAAGUUUGAUUUCCUGGAGCUAUUGGUGAACCUGCCCCAUUGACUAACGGAGCUGCAACACACCAAACUGCAAAGGUGCUUCAGGUUGCCAGCGUUAAAUUCCACCCCCCUUUCUUUACUAAUAGAAAAAAACUAAGCUGAAUGCUACUCCAGCACCAUUUUGAGUCUGUCUGUCCCAGACUGACAAUCCUCUCAGCGUUCACUGUCACCCCAGGAAGAGGAUCUGACACAGUCCAUACAGGAGAUGUAUUUUUAGGGGCGGGUAAUGAGCUGAUGGCUGUUUGUCCCCUCCAACAGCCAGAGGAGCACAGGUGGCUCUGAGAAUCCUUCUUCUCCAUUCCAGUCACAGUCAGGCCAGACUGGAGCCCGCAGAUGAAAUGGAAAUGCUAUUUUCAUCUACGUCGAAACACAUUUUUGAGCUUCUGAUGGAGAGGGAGAGGUGCUGGGUCACGUUCAGGGAUGUGUGACUGUGGAGCUGCUCCGGGCCAGCAGCUACAGAAAGGUAUUAGGAGAGAGGACUGGAACCAAAUUAACCUUUCCAAGAAAUUAGCUUACCGUCUUCUAAUCAGAACUGGGUUCAAGCCUUGGGGUUUGGAAAGGAUCAUGCUAAUAGAUUUUUUCACCAUUCCUACUUUUGAGUCAUUUCUGACCUCCAGCUGAGGGGAAGGGUUUCACGGGGGCAGGGGGUAUCGCAGAACUGACCCACACGCAGUGAUGAGACCUUCCCCCAUUCCAAUACAUCCAGCCUAUUUACUAGAAAAAGUAAAAAUAAGCAGAUAAAAAAAUUCCAUGAGAACCACCAGAGGUCAGAUACAGACUCAAAAAUUCAGGAUCCAGGUCGGAUAUAUUCAUAUUUGGGGCAGGACUCACAGACUGCUGUUAGCAAAGCCCUGACUGUGCUACUGCUGUGAAUGGGAGACUUAAAAUGUCAUUUUUUGAACGUUUAGAUACAAAACUCUGUGGGGAAGAUGGAGGUGCCAUUGCCACAAAUGCACAACCACUUGUUCCCAAUCCAGCUGUGAGGCUUGGAGACCUCUGCUUGGUUACAGGGGGUGGAAAAGGAAGGGCAAGAAAUGCGUGAUGCAGAAGGGAGUUCUGCUCUUCCCAGCUUGUACUGGGAUAAUUUCCAAGGAGCUUGAACCUUUUCAGACCAAGGGAUUUCCAUCUGCUUACACCAGCAAUACAUUUUGACCUUGGUCUCUGGUUUGGCCAAUUAGGAAUCUGAAAUCAGAAUUAGUGGAAUGAAAAACAAAAUGUUUGUGGAUCCAGUUUGCUGUUAAUUUAAGCAUCACCAUUUAAGCAAGCGGGGCCUCAGUGCUCUGUGGAAAAGAUCUUCCACAACAGAGUAACAGCAAAUUGAGGGGAGGCAGUUUCCGUCUCAGCUAAGGAGAGAAAAUGACCAAAAUGCCUGUUCCUAGGACAUAAAAGCUGCAAUUACAAGCUCAUUAUUUAAGCAGUGUAUAUUUCUGAUGCUUAAUCUUCCCGGAUUCAGUCAGACGCUUUGGAAACCUUUCAGAAAGGAUCCUCAAAAACUCAGCGGGUCUGAGCCAUUUUGAAUAUUUUACUCUACAUUCCUCAGAACAGAUUUAAAUAAAUUAUAUUAUAACCUCUGUAUUUUAAUAAUU
rnacentral:lncRNA from 1 species